CUCAUUAUGUGUAAAUAACACACACAGAUCGGCACAUACACCGGGGUGCUCUCAUGCGGUUAAUUCAUUGAUGUGAAUGGCUUUCAUCUGAGAGGGUCUGUUACGAAUAACCCGCAGUUAAAGAGUCGGUGUCAUGGGAUCUGUGGAGGCAUAAC
rfam:Xenorhabdus doucetiae str. FRM16 chromosome, complete genome.